rnacentral:misc_RNA from 1 species
UACGACGUCUAGCAACGCGGUAUCCCGGGCGUUCCAGGACAACAUAGAAAUCCAUACCAUAGAUACCAGUUGAAGGAUCAUACUUGAUUCCAAGAUCAAUGUGCUCCUGAAUACCAAAUCCAAAGCAUCCAGUUUCACUGAAGUUCCUUCUCAACAACUCAUACUCCUUGACCUUCAAUCCACUCUCAAGGAGCUGCAUAGCUUUUUCCCCUCUGACAGUGACGUAACAGGCGAUCUUUUCAUUACGUCUGAUUCCAAAGGAACGGACAGUAUACCUAGCUUUGGAGAAAACAGGGGAUUGACCGCUUAGUUGCUCCAAAACCUUGGCCGCUCUGGUAAGUCUAUCUCCGCUCUCACCAACAGAGAUGUUGAGGACUAGCUUCUGAACCUUGAUAUCCCUCAUUGGGUUGCUCAAUUUCUUCUCUGACGCCAUUGGAUUCUGUUCUGAAGAGCUUUUUUU